AUUGAAUGCUGGCGGCAUGCUUAACACAUGCAAGUCGAACGGCAGCGCGGGAAAGCUUGCUUUCCUGGCGGCGAGUGGCGGACGGGUGAGUAAUACUUAGGAAUCUGCCCACUAGUGGGGGAUAGCCCGGGGAAACUCGGAUUAAUACCGCAUAAGCCCUACGGGGGGAAGGCUGGGGACCCGACGCACCACUAGUCCUUUUCGGUCGAACCGAUCAAGGACGGAGAAGAAGCUAUGGUGCNGGGCCGUGGCGCUAGUGGAUGAGCCUAA
rnacentral:rRNA from 1 species